rnacentral:rRNA from 1 species
AGUGGGGAAUUUUUCGCAAUGGGGGAAACCCUGACGAAGCAACGCCGCGUGGAGGAUGAAGGCCUUCGGGUUGUAAACUCCUGUCGACCGGGACGAAAGUAGUCCGACCCAAUACGUCGGGCUAUCGACUGUACCGGUGGAGGAAGCCACGGCUAACUCUGUGCCAGCAGCCGCGGUAAUACAGAGGUGGCAAGCGUUGUUCGGAAUUACUGGGCGUAAAGGGCGCGUAGGCGGUCUUUUAAGUCUUGUGUGAAGUCCCUCGGCUCAACUGAGGAACUGCACGGGAUACUGGAAGACUUGAGUUCGGGAGAGGGAAGCGGAAUUCCGGGUGUAGCGGUGAAAUGCGUAGAUAUCCGGAGGAACACCGGUGGCGAAGGCGGCUUCCUGGACCGAUCACUGACGCUGAGGCGCGAAAGCUAGGGGAGCAAAC